UUUAAAAAAAUAUACUUGUAGUAUAUACAAGUAUAUAAAAGUAUACUUGUAGUAUAUACAAGUAUAUAAAAAUAUAUACUUGUAGUAUAUAUUCCUAGAAUUCCUAGUAUGUAUUCCUAGAUCCAAGAAUAGGCACAUUUUAAAAUAUUGCCAAGUUGCCCAAGUGAUAUAUGAGUGGACAUGCUUGCCCACACUGUCAUCAACAUCAGGUAGUAACCAUUUAAAAAAUCUUUACAAAUCUUAUAGAUGAAAAUAAUGUCAUUGUUUAAAUUUGGAUUUCUAACUAGUGAAGUUGUGCAUAUUUUCGUAAUGUAGACUAUAUUUCCUGUUCUAUGAAAUCCUUGUUUAUGUUCUUUUCACUCUUGGGGUGUGCACUUUCUUUCUUAUUGAUUUGUAAGAACUUUUUAUUUAUUUAGGAUAUUAGGACUUGUAAUAUAUGAUGCAGGUUUUCUCAGGUUGUGGUUAAUUCAUUGCCUUUGCUUUGAUGUUCUAUUGUUGACAGAGAAGUUUUAAACUUUUUGGUAGCCAAAUUUAUCAGCCUUUUCCUUUGGGUUUCUAGCUUUCAUGUCAUACUUGUAAGGUCUUUCCUACUCAAAGAUUGUAAAAAUAUUCACCCCUAUUUUCCUCUGAAAUGUAAAUGGUUUAAUUUCCUACUCUCCUUUGGGUGUUACUGCUGAAGUGAGGAGGGAGAGAAGAUUCCAGCUGUAUUCUGUAACGGUGGUCACACUGCUUUGGGAAACUGAGGACAACUGAGUGUGAGUACAAACCAAUGACUUUGGGCAAGUUACACUCUCAGUGUCUGUGUUCCCUCUUCUGUGAAAUGGGAAAAACCACAGAAUGUGCUUGUAAGUGUGUGGUGAGAAGUCAUUAAGAUGAUGUGUGUAAAGCAAAGAGCACAGUGCCAGGGGCAAUGUAAACCCUCAGUGUGAGUUAGCUACUGUCCCGGUCUUUCUUCAGUGCUGGCCUUCAUUCUAGCACCAUUGCUGGAAGAAUCCACCUUCUCCCCACAGUUGUGAAAUGCCACCUGUUAAAGGCAACCAUCCACUAGUUUCCCAGGUGCACUGGGUUUGCUUCUGGACUCACUCUUCUGUCAGUCUCUUCUGGGCCAGUGUCUCAUCAGUGCACCUAAGGUUUGCUCACUUCUGGCCAGGGAAGUCUCCAUGCCCCUUGGAGGCCCAGGCCGUGUGCCCUCAGGAACUCCCUUCUGUCUCUCCCAUAUCCCCUCCAGGGCCAGCCCCGUCCACCCUGUGUUUUGCAUCUACUCAUAAGUUUUCCUCGAACUUUCCAAGAUGGGUAGGACCUUUUGUUAUACGCACUUUGAGAUUCAAGAAAUGGAGAGCUGGAAAGUUCCACUUAGAACUUUAAAGUAAGACCGUACUCUCAGCUCUACCACAUACCCUCUCUGAGCCUCCAGUUCCCAUCUGUGAAACAGGGACCACCAUCGCUCCCUUUUGGGGUUGUUACAAGAAUCUGGCGGGGAUGUGCACACCCUGGCAGAGUGCCUGACACAUGGGGACACCCCAGCUUCCAGGUGACGCCGCCUGCCUGUUGGAACUUCUAGUUCUAAAUCCACACAGGCUUGCUCUACCAUGCUGCCCCCCCCCCCACAAGACUGAAUAAUGCCACGCGGAGGCCUUCAGACCUCACCAAAAUCUCCAGGCCCUUCUCUGGGGACUGCACCUUCUUCAGGAUGCCCACACCAGCCAGGAAUGUGCCCCAACUGAACGCAACUGCAGCCUUCCUAAUUGCUGUUGCUAAGUAUAUAUAGGACGCCCUGUACUAUGCAAGUAGCACGUCUUUGUCACCAUGGUGACCAGGCAACUUCAGUCUCCAAACACAUUCCUGUGCAGCAUGUGUCUAUCAGGGCAGAAGGGAGCCAGUAAAACUGUGAGUCUGGCAAAGGAGGGUGGCCCCACCCCCCAGUCGCUGGCUCUCAGAAUUGAGUGGCCAGUGCCCCGCCCUUUGACUGUACAAAGCUCUUCUUCGGAAACUUUCCUUGUCGGCACCCAAACCACACAUCUCCAUCACCUGAAACUGAUUCAGGAAAAAAGGCCCCAGGAGAAGGAGACUCUACGGGGGACACCUGCGAAUCUGGGUAACUCAGAGAAUGCAGGAUUCACCAGGGCACCCUGAAGGCGCGGGCUUGGUGGUAGCAGAACAAAUCCCCGAAGCACCCACAGAAAUCCUCUUUUGGAAGGUACUCUCCAGGAUGGAGCUAAAAGCAAAAUGUAGGUGCCUCAAGAGAGCCUCUUGCUUCUAAGGAAAUCGUGAGACAAACAGUUCCUGCUUACGGCUGUUGAGCUCCUCAGGGCCAAUUGAAUCAGAAUCUUGGGGGUGGGGGUGAGCAUCGAUGCGUGUUUUCUCCAGGUGAUGGUCAAGAGCCCUGAUGGGAACUCCAGGUGAGGCUGCGAGGAUUAUCACACGCUUGAGGGAAGCUGCCAGAACUGGGAGUCUUUUUGAGGGGCAGCAAGGAGGCUGCAACCUGGAGCCCAGCAAGAUCGUUUGUGAAUGUGCUCCUGAUACUGAGAAGACCUGUAGGGCCAGCGUCCCUGCGAAGGAGAAGGGGAGUCAGGUUUUGGGGUUGGGGGUGAAGUUCUGCUAAGAACCGAGAUUGGUCUUGGGCAGUCGUGGCCCUUGCUCUGGGCUCUGCACUUCGGGGCACCCUGCCCUCACCAGGCAUCCUCAGGGGCUGAGACAACUACUUGCCCAGAGCCUGCACACUCCUUUUGAAGCCGUGCCCUUGUCACGCGGGGUUCCAGAAUACCUGCCCAAGUGCCCUGAGCCUGCUUCUAGGCACGCGAGGCCUCUGCCCUGGGUCCAUCUUCUCCAGGAAGACUGUAUAGAAAGCUGGGCACCUGACGGACAGCCCGAAGGCGGCCGCCUGCAAGCUGGUGUGGAGAGACUGGGCUGAACGGUCCCUACACUCAGAAGUCAUGAGGCCAUUUGUGUUUGAAUGUGGACAUGACAUUUGGAGCUGUGUCAGGAAUAUUGUGACCAUGACAGAAAGGCCGGGAGAGUCACAUAGAAGUCAACUCAGGACUCUGACAUUGCACAGCCACCAGACCAACUACCUACCUCAGGACCUCCUGCUAGGAAAUCUACCUUAGGUUGAAGAUCAACCUGAAAGCCCUCUGUUAUCAAGAGAAGGCUUUUAAUACAGGCAGUACUGAUGGAGGGGAAAACAAGGUAUUCCAAAAGUGAAGAAAUCUGAGGGAUUUUCAAGCAGGAAUGAGUACUGAGCAGAAUGUACAAUAUUCUCUUCUAUAUGACAGUGGAGUAUGAAAACCUCAAGAAGUUCUUCAUCCUCAACCCAAUCAAGGGGGGUACUUUAGAGGAAAUCAUGAAGGUUCUGUAGGUAAACAUGGACCAUGGAGAGGAACUAGUACCUUACAUGGAGCCACUCCCUGACUCCAAGGAUCCUGGGCAGACUGACUUGAUGGUAUCCCAGGGCUACACAAUGGGAAGGGAUCAAGGACUCAUAGAUGGGCCAGAAGUAUGAUGAAGUGAUGGUAAUCUAUGUGCUUCUGGCCUAUAAGAGAUCUGAGCUGGAGGGCGACACCAUCAUCCUGAGCCCCAUCCUUUGGCUGAUCCCACCCACAGCUGCCCUUUAAACUCAUCCUGCAAGGUAUGGCAUCGUGACUCUGCUAACCCAAAGCAGAGGAAUUUCAAUAAGCCUGCCACUUCCACCUUUAAUUCCUACUCUGAGAAUAGUCAGAAGAGCAGGACAGAAAAUCAGUGGCUUGAGGAGAACCAGGAGUUAGGAUGGAAAGCGAGCAGCUCAGGCAAAGCAUCUGACAGUCCCCUACUUGGCCUAGAGAGGAGACCACCCCAGCACAGCCCCCAGCAUGGACCUUUGGCCUCCCCUGAACCCAUACACCAGCAGCAGUGAUGAUGUCCCGGAUGCAACCAAAUUCCCCCAGGGUAUAGCCUCCAGGAAAGCCCCUCCAUACUGGCAGCUUAGACAGUGGUCUGACAAACAGAAUUUGCCUGACGGUGUGAUCCCAUCCUCUGCCUCUAGCAGCAGCCAAGGCCGGCAGGGGUCAUUGGGAAGGAUGAAGGUUCACUUUCAUCCACACCUGUGUUUGAGGUCAGCCAGAAAGAACUGGCAUGAAGCAGAAAGAGUGGAGAAGGAAACUUCAGGUGGCCAAAGCAGUGAGAUAAACAAGGAAGCAUGCUGGGAGGUCAGGCGUGCUCCCUGUACUUUACAUGAAGCAUGGAGAUCACGAGCUCCUUGGAGCCCAUCAAGUGUGGGAGAUUGGCCAGGUGCUGAACACAAACAGCUGCACUAGGAACUGGACAAGAUGUAUAUGAUGCUGUGCGUGCGCGGCCCGCUGAGAGAGGACUUCGUGCACUGGGGGAUAGAGAGUAUGACCUGCCCAGCCUUCGCCCCCAGGACUCAGAUAAGGGGCUGACACUUCCAAAGCCUUCAAAAGCAGUCUCCAAGAUAAUGCUGUACCUACAGGAUGCCAGGGGCCACCUAGAGGACAAGAUGAAAGGCCUCUUUGCCCCACCUGGGUGAACUUCAGAGACGGAUGGGACUGUUGCUUUUGGAGCAUUUCUCCUCUUCCCUGCUCUUCUCCAUCUUGUCUUCCGUGUUCGUGGGGGAGGGGAAAUAGAGCUGUAGAAAUAAACUCAAUUAUAAAAAUGCUAAUUUAUUC